rnacentral:ncRNA from 2 species
CAGAGCCGUAUACUCUGAGAGGAGUACGUACGGUUCCCGAAGAGGGUGGUACAAACCUAGUGCAGUAAUGUAUCCAAGGCGGUACUUCCCUACUUCAC